rnacentral:lncRNA from 10 species
CUGGAGGGCAGUGGUGUGAUCACGGCUCACUGCAGCCUCAACCUCCCAGGCUCAAGCGAUCCUCCCACCUCAGCCUCCCAAAGUGCUGGGACAACAGGCCUGAGCCACUGCGCCUAGCCAUCUCUACAUUAUAACUGCAUGUGAAUCUACAAUGCAAGAUGAUAGAAGUCGAAGGUGCUAACGAUGGGCACACAUCACAAACUCAUUGCGAGGCACAACUCGGCUCAGCGUGACCCUCUCACUGCAUCCCUGGAAGCUCCCAUGGGGCUGGCAAGGGACAGUGUCUGCCCCAAGGCCGCCUGGACCGAGCACCUGUUCCCUUUCCCGCUGUGCCUCCUGCAUCCCCAGAGGGCUCGGGACACAAGCAUGAAUGAAUCGAAGAACCCAAACACCCCAAGGUGUGGUCGGCCAGGUAUCUUCGUUUCCCUGCCUGGUGACACCCCUGCCUUGUGACAGUCAAUGUGCAGAAAUGCAGUUUUCUUCUGCUAGGGGAGGGACUGAGGUGGAGGAAGCCCGUGGGUGCUGGCUGGGCAGGUUAUCUGUCUCAGGGUAAACGGGCAGCAGCUGGUGUAUAACUGGUGCGGAUGGAGCCUAAGGUGGCCCCACAACCCCCACCUCCUGGCAACCACGCAUUUGUAGGCGUUUCUCCCCAUAAAAGUAUGGACAGGGCUGUCACUUAAACCUAACCCAUAAAAUACAGCAGAGCUGACGGACUGUCACUCCUGGGACGAUGACACAUCACACGAUGCUCUAUAUCUUACUAGCCGACUAGCUGAAGACCUCCCUUGCUAGCUUGACAUCAGUAGCCACAUCAGAGAAGCCCAUGGGGCAAGGAACUGCAGGUGGGCCCUGGGAACUGCAGGCGGCCUCCAAGAACCAAGUUAAAAAAAAAAAAAUGAAGCCCCCAUCCUUCAACCGCAAAGUAGUGGAUUAUAUCAGCCACCACAAGAGCUUGGAAGGGGUUGUAUGAGUCUGUUCUCAUGUUGCUAAUAAAGACAUACUAAAUAAUAAAGACUGGGUAAUUUAGAAAGGAAAGAGGUUUAAUGGACUCACAGUUCCGCAUGGCUGGGGAGGCCUCACAAUCAUGGUGGAAGGUGAACGAGCACAGGCACAUCUUACACAGCGGCAGGCAAGGGAGUGUGUGCAGGGGAACUGCCCUUUAUAAAACCAGAUAGUUUCUCAGAAAAUCUCAGAUUCAGAAAUGCGCCUAGCAGAGAAUAAAGACCAAUUCCACACCACACCCGAG